GAAGCUGGCUAGACAGUCGCCGCUCACGUAAGUGAGGGGAGGAAAGUCCGGGCUGCAUAGAGCGGGAUGACGGCUAACGGCCGUACGUUGAAAGCUUGGGUAACCAAGUAUAAGGCGCGGAAUAGGGCCACAGAGACGAGCGUAUUUAGUUACGGUGAAACGCGGUAACCUCCAUUCGCAGCAAGACCAAAUAGGCUGGCACUUUACCUUAUGGUAAUAAGGCGUGGUUCGCGCUGCUAGCGGGUAGGUUGCUUGAGCGUACAAGCAAUUGUGCGCCUAGAUGAAUGACUGUCAGCCUUAGUAAUAAGGCCUACAGAACCCGGCUUAUCGGCCAGCUUCACUA
rnacentral:RNase_P_RNA from 1 species